ensembl:lncRNA
UAGUUAAAAUGUCUGUUUAUUCAUUUACAAACCUAGUAACGUCAGAAGAAACUCAGUGGAAACCUUGCUUGGUGGAGACAGUGCACAGUGUUAGUGCCACAUUCACAGGGGCAGAAAUGCUCGGUCACCCUGUGCACCCAAAGUCACCAAGGAUCUCUAGAAAAGAUCCCACUUACUGAAGUGCCUCGGAUGUCUUCAGGGCCACAUUGUAACUACACAGGAACAGAGAAGAGCUAAGCUGAACUGCACAUUGACAAACACAAACGAUGAGUCACAGGACUCUACAGUAAUUACAAUGGCAUUUUUAUACAUCCCAAGUGUUGACCAGAGAGUAAAGUGUUAACUGAGCUGCUAGAAAACCCUUCACUGAAAGAGCUUUCUAGCCCACGCCCAUUGUUCUGAGGAAGGAGAGGCUAUGUGGGGUGGAUGGGAACCCACACGCUGAGAUGAACUUUUCUCUUUCUUCCAAUCUGCACCCACCAUCUGACAUUCCGGAGUGUAAGGCACUAGAACCUGGCUUAGAGAAUAGCAGGGCUCUAAGCUCCAGUUCUUGGUGUGCAAAGGAAAUUCUGACAUAGAUCUUUUGAAAGAGAUGCUAAAAAAUCCUCCCUAUCUCCUGUAAUUUCUGUCUUUGACAGGAAAACAAGAAGGCAGAAGAUGGUUUGAAAGGAUAAAAACAGGUGCAUCUAAGAAUGAGAAAAAUGGCCCAUGAAGAAAUGUGUAACUCUCCAAGAGAUGCAGACACUCUGCUCGGAGAAGUCAAGAAUCACAAACAACUCUUGAUGUUUUAUGGACAAAGAGGAGGCAAAGGCAUACAAAAAUACUCAGUUAUCUUGAAAAAGAGUGUACUGGUAGUGAUCAGGGCUGCAAAGACGAGCCCGGUAUUGACAAUGGGGGAGCCUUACAACUCAGCACCUUGAAGUGUUGGCCCGAAAUGGUGGCGGGGAGGAGGUGCUGAUGGAGACCCAUGGGCACCACUUACUGUGUGUACACAGGGCCUGGGGCAAGCCUCACACAUCUACCAUUUCUUCCACUCAACUGUGCUUCUCCUGAAUCCAUGUGCCUGAAAUGACAUGUGCAAGGUGAACAUUCUUUAUACUGUGCUAAUACUGCUUAUAUCAAUGUUUGUGAUGGGUGUUUGGGGGAUGGGGUGCAGCAGGAAAAUUAGAAUGGCAGGAGGUUCUUAUUUACUAUUAACCACUGUUGACCAAACCUCUAUCUUAGAUUUUUUUUUUUUUUUGAGACAGAGUCUCACUCUGUUACCCAGGCUGGAGUGCAGUGGUGCAAUCUUGGCUCACUGCAAUCUCUGCCUCCUGGGUUCAAGCGAUUCUCCCACCUUGCUGGGCCUCCCAAAGUGCUGGGAUUACAGGAGUAAGCAAACACACCCGGCCAACCAAACCCCUAUCUUAGAUGUUAAAGACGACCCUGAUUGACCACACUGGCGAAGCAAGAGAGACAUAAAACUGACCCUUGUAGCUAACCCCUGAAAGCAAGCCAAUGCAAAUUCCUCCACCAGGCCAGUAUUCUAGGGCCAAUAUGGAGACUGCGGGUCACAGAAGAUUCCCUUCUAUUUCAGGUUCUCAAAAAGUGGUGUAGACUCAGCCAAAUGCCAGGAAAUGUGUCCCUACACCAGAGGAGAAGCAGAGCCAGAAAUGAAGGCUACAGGUUGAGUGCUUCCUGUCUUCAGCGAAGCACUCAACGCUCUUGGAAAGCUCCCAUCAUUCUUGCACCGCUACUGCCACCAAGACGGUGGCGAGGGAGGAGGCUAAAUUUCAAAUACAUGCAAAGGCAGGUAAUAUACUGUGGAAGCUGGAGGUUUACUUUUCAUACACUUUAGUUACUUUCUUGGAAACAGCAGUCCAGGAAAGCAAGCAAACAGGUAAAACUCCGGCUGUGCAUGAGGAGACGAUCCAGGGCCAGUGUGCCUCCCAGUGAGAACCAAACAGGAGUGGCCAGGCUCUACUCCUGGGGCCAGAGUGAAACCGGGGUUUAAUCACCGGGCA